rnacentral:rRNA from 1 species
CCACUGCUAUGGGGGUCCGAUUAAGCCAUGCGAGUCAUGGGGCGCGCUCUGCGCGCACCGGCGGACGGCUCAGUAACACGUCGGUAACCUACCCUCGGGAGGGGGAUAACCCCGGGAAACUGGGGCUAAUCCCCCAUAGGCCUGAGGUACUGGAAGGUCCUCAGGCCGAAAGGGUCUUUGACCGCCCGAGGAUGGGCCGGCGGCCGAUUAGGUAGUUGGUGGGGUAACGGCCCACCAAGCCGAAGAUCGGUACGGGCCAUGAGAGUGGGAGCCCGGAGAUGGACACUGAGACACGGGUCCAGGCCCUACGGGGCGCAGCAGGCGCGAAACCUCCGCAAUGCGGGCAACCGCGACGGGGGGACCCCCAGUGCCGUGGCAUCGCCACGGCUUUUCCGGAGUGUAAAAAGCUCCGGGAAUAAGGGCUGGGCAAGGCCGGUGGCAGCCGCCGCGGUAAUACCGGCGGCCCGAGUGGUGGCCGCUAUUAUUGGGCCUAAAGCGUCCGUAGCCGGGCCCGUAAGUCCCUGGCGAAAUCCCACGGCUCAACCGUGGGGCUUGCUGGGGAUACUGCGGGCCUUGGGACCGGGAGAGGCCGGGGGUACCCCUGGGGUAGGGGUGAAAUCCUAUAAUCCCAGGGGGACCGCCAGUGGCGAAGGCGCCCGGCUGGAACGGGUCCGACGGUGAGGGACGAAGGCCAGGGGAGCGAACCGGAUUAGAUACCCGGGUAGUCCUGGCUGUAAAGGAUGCGGGCUAGGUGUCGGGUGAGCUUCGAGCUCGCCCGGUGCCGAAGGGAAGCCGUUAAGCCCGCCGCCUGGGGAGUACGGCCGCAAGGCUGAAACUUAAAGGAAUUGGCGGGGGA